AAUUAAGAAGUAUUUGAUACUUUUAAGAAGUAUCCGAUACGUAUCCAUGAGUAUCCGAGGAGUAUCGGUAUCCGAUAAGUAUCUGAUACGGAUACGUCACCCUUUUUGAAGUAUCCGUGCUUCAUAGAAAUCGUUUAAUGUUAUUCGGGUGUUUUGAAUCACUGAUUCUGACUGCAAUGGCUGCUAUAAUAAUAUUUUGCCAUUUCUAAUCGUGACAAAUAGCCUAGUUAACGAUUUUCUAUAUGAUUGACCAAUAAAUCAAGUCAAGUAAUUUUCUUUUGUUGGCCUGUUGUGUGUCCCCCACUGCCCAGCGCCAUCCUCUCCCUCUCACCCUGACUGCCUGCCACUACCCUCUUUUCUCUUCCCUAGUGCACCCUCUCCUUCCCCUUCCAAUCCCUUCUCUCUCCUUCCUAUUCCCCCUCCUUACCACCCACCCUCCACCAUCAUUGCCACCACUAUAUCUCUCUCCCCUCAAACCUUGGAAACCCUUUCUCACACAUUAUCUCCCCUCCAGAAUUGCCUACUUGACCACACAUCAUCUUGACCAUUGUGUGUCAACUUGCCCAAAUGAGGGGUUCGAUUGCGAUUGCACCUUGGCAUUUUCAUCAUGUUCAAGCCUUGUGGAGGUUCGAUUGCCCAGAUGGAGAGUUCAAUUGUUACAAGAAAAUGUGUGAUUGUGCGAUUUGGUGGAGCAUGGUGGAUGCUGGUGUUUGUAAAUCUAGGUUUGGAGGUAGUGGGGGGUGGUGGUGAUGAUGGACAGGGAAGUAGAGGGGUAGCAGUGUUAUGGAAAAAGAAUGGGUGGGGCGGUAACUAUGGGUUGAGGAAGGGAAGGAAGGGCUGGCAAUGAGGAAAGAGAGGGAGUUGGAGGUGGUGACAAGUUUGUUGACAAUGGGGGUGGCAGUGGGUUGGGAAAUGGAAGGGUGAGGGAGUAGGAAGUUAGUAAAUUGUCAAAAUUGUGCUUUCUCCUUUGGGAUUAAUUAAUAGGAUAUAGACAGAUGGUCGGGAUUGGGACGAUUUUAAAAGUCCAAGGUUUCAAUUGAAGAAAUUCAAAGUGUAGGGUUUAAUUUGUUGCAAGGGUCGAACCCUCUUCUUUUUUUUCUCUCUUUUUUUUUGUUGUAUUUUUAUUUUUUUAUAAUUUCCCCAAAAUUCAUAUAUGGGUAAAUUACACUUUUCCUCUUUUACGUUUCGAUGUUUUCUUACUUGGCAUUUAAAGUUUUUUUCCCCCACUUUGGUCUCUAGCAUUUAUAAAUUUACCCAUUUUACUCCAAUAGCUAACAUCCAUCCAAUAUGGUCAGAAAAUGCCACGUUGGAAUCCAUGUUACGCCACAUUGGUAGCUACGUGGCUUAAUAACACAUUAUUAUGCAAAUUUGGAUAAAUUACACUUUACUCCUUUAAGUUUCAAGUGUCUAAGAAGUACAAACAUAGACACGUGAUACGACACAGACACGUCAACACGACAAUUUUCAAAAAAUACAAGACACACAAAAUAUGUAGUUUUAUAUAUUUAUUAUAAAUAUAUCAUUCAAAGAUAAUAAAAAAUGCAACAUAAUAUUAAUUUUUGUAAAAUUUUCGUUAUCUUUGUACCCUAGGUUUAUUUUGUUUAAAUUUAUAAUUAGUUUCAUAUGUAUCUAAGCGAUAGACACGUGUGUCCCUCGAUUGUUUGAGCCUUAAAAGAUUAAAACAUAAUAGGACACGUUUGGAUGAGUGUCGACACUUGUUGGGAAGUAUCCGAUGAGUGCCAGUGCCCGACAUGGACACGACAAGGAUACACCACCUUUUUAGAAGUGUCUGUGCUUCAUAGUUUAGCAUUUUCUCUCUUUCUCUAAAAAAAAAAAAAUUCCCCCACUUUGGUGUCUAAUGUUCUAAGUUUUUUCAGUUUGUUCCAAUAGUCAAUCUGUCUAGAAUUGGAUGAAUGGCAUCCAUGUUUACUCCAGUUUGAACUUUAUUUGUAAUCGAGCCCCUUUCCCUCCCCUAGAAUUCGAUGAAUGACAUACACUAUCCGCUUCCUCUCCCAUAUCUACUGAAAUGGCGAUUGGAUUUGGGAGAGAGAUAUUGUUCGAUGAUGGUGUUUGAUGGUGUCGAUUUAAAGGGUUGUGGUGGGUGGAUGCUUGAUGGUGGUUUUGAAAUGUUGGUGGUAGCAAUAGCGUGUAAUCGAACCGAGACGAGCUGAGCGGAGUCGAGUUUAACUAUCUUUAAGCUUGGCUCGAGCUCGAAGCGAGCCAAAACAUUUGAGCUCGAGCUUGGCUCGCGUAAAAUUUAUGCAACUCUGGCUCGGCUCGUGAUGGCUUGUUAGUCAAGAGACAACCAAGGAAGACUAAAGCCUACUACACUUAAAUAGAGAUCUCUCUACCUUGAAAUACAUUGUGUAAUCGAUGGGGGACACCAAACUGUUUGAAACAUGACUAACCAAACGGCAUUGUUUGGCCAGUGAGUGCAAUUGCACUCUUCAGUCCCACAUCGCUCAAGCAAAGAAGCAUACUAAGUCUCAAUGCUUAUAAAACAGAGUUGUUUGCAGCCAUUAUUACUCAAUGAAAGCACAAACUUCCAAACUAGUAAUGAUUAUUAUUUGUAAUAUAAAAAUAAAAAAUAAUCAUGAUCAUUAAAAUUUGAAAUGUUUUAAUAUAUAUAUAUAUAUAUAUUUGAGCUCGCGAGCCUAAUCAAGUUGAGUAUUAUUGAGCUUGGGCUUGGCUCGUUUAUUAUAUGAGCUUAAAAUUCUCAGGCUCGUUUAUUUGGUAAGCGAACCGAGUUUGAACGAGCCUUAACGAGCCGAACUUGAGUUUGUUCAUGAAUGAUUUGGUUGAUUUGCCGCCAGUGAUGAGGUGGAGUAGGGCAAUGAAUGGUGGUGGUGUUGAGUUGUAAAUGAUAGCAAUGAUGAGAGGGAGUACUGUCAGGGAUGGAGUUUAGGGGUUAGGGCACAGAGGGGAAGGCAAGGGGAGGAGUGGGGGUUUCAAUGGUGGUGGAGCCAAUGGUGGGGUCCGUGGAAGGGUGGUGGGAGUGUUGGAGGAGAUUAUGGGUUUGGGUUGAGUCUAAAUUUAUGUAAUAAUGUGUCAUAAUAAUUUUACGUGCAACGUGACAUUUUCCAUGAUUGUUGGAGCAAACUGGAAAAAAUUAGAAAUUUAGGUACUGAAGUGGGAAAAAAAAUUAAAGGUCAAAAUGGAAAAACAGUGCUUCUUAA